rnacentral:rRNA from 1 species
GACGAACCGUCCAAACGUUAUUCGGAAUUACUGGGCUUAAAGGGUGCGUAGGCGGCGCGGCAAGUUGGGUGUGAAAUCCCUCGGCUCAACCGAGGAACUGCGCUCAAUACUACCGUGCUCGAGGGAGAUAGAGGUGAGCGGAACUUAGGGUGGAGCGGUGAAAUGCGUUGAUAUCCUAAGGAACACCGGUGGCGAAAGCGGCUCACUGGAUCUCUUCUGACGCUGAGGCACGAAAGCUAGGGUAGCGAACGGG